rfam:Triticum aestivum genome assembly, contig: Triticum_aestivum_CS42_TGACv1_scaffold_602609_7DL
CAUAUACUCCCUCCGUUCCAAAUUAGUUGACUUGAAUUUAUCUAAAUACAAAUGUAUCUAGACACUAAACAAGUAUAGAUAAAUAUGGAUCUAUACUUGUUUAGUGUCUAGAUACAUUCGUAUCUAGAUAAAUAUGGAUCAAGUAAUUUGGAACGGAGGGAGUAGAAU